rnacentral:rRNA from 1 species
GACGAACGCUGGCGGCGUGCUUAACACAUGCAAGUCGAGCGGAAAGGCCUCUUCGGGGGUACUCGAGCGGCGAACGGGUGAGUAACACGUGAGUAAUCUGCCCUUCACUCUGGGAUAGCCACCGGAAACGGUGAUUAAUAGCGGAUACGACACGUCCAGGCAUCUGGUGCGUGUGGAAACUUUUUGGGCGGUGGAUGUGCUCGCGGCCUAUCAGCUUGUUGGUGGGGUAAUGGCCUACCAAGGCUUCGACGGGUAGCCGGCCUGAGAGGGUGACCGGCCACACUGGGACUGAGACACGGCCCAGACUCCUACGGGAGGCAGCAGUGGGGAAUAUUGGACAAUGGGCGGAAGCCUGAUCCAGCAACGCCGCGUGAGGGAUGACGGCCUUCGGGUUGUAAACCUCUUUCAGCACCGACGAAGCGAUCCUUUUGGGGAGUGACGGUAGGUGCAGAAGAAGGACCGGCCAACUACGUGCCAGCAGCCGCAGUAACAC